GGCGACUACCCGUUCCAGGGUUAUUAGGACUGUAAUCACCAGAGGACUUGAAAAUGAGCCGGAGUUGAGAGGAUCACCAAAACUAAAGAGCAUACAACCAUGCCGACAACCAUCUGUGAAGUGGACAAAGGGCUGGACAUUGGGCCGCACUGAAAAAAACGCAUGGUUCCCAAGAAAGUGGCCACUGUAAUCGAUGAGGGCUCAGGGCGAUACCAUUCUGCUCACCUGAUGAAAGUGCACAUAGAUCAGAUUCAAACUUUGAAGACCGAGAUGGAGUCAAUGAAGGCAGACCAGCAGAAAGAGAAACAUUCUCUGAGGGCAGAGAUACGGGCGACAGCUGAUGCAUUGGUCCAGAGCCAGGCGGUAUUGACGGAGAGUCAGGCACACCUGUGAGCUCUGGAACUCCACCUCCGACAGGCAGAGUCAACAUAUGUGGCGGGUUCGUCAGGUCGUCGGUUCACCCUGCCAUUUCCAUUCCUCUUUUGACAACAGAAUUUGACAAACUUCUCACCAGGCACAGCAAGGGCCGUCCGGACCGUUAUGCUGUUCUGCUAUUCUAAGGAUGUGCAACCGAAGAGAGAUACCACGAGUGGACACAGAAUACCAACUGGGAUGGAUCCAGCGGCAAAUGUGGCUUACCAGUGAUCCUCCGGGUGUUCAUCAAUAUAUAAUUAUUUUAUAUAUAUAUAUAUAUAUAUAUAUAU